CCUCAAACAUGGAGGUGUCAUGGAAGACGUGGGUAUGGGUUUGGAGAAGAGACACAGGUUGAGAAAUAUGAGGUCCUGAAAAGCACUGAUGACAUGAAAAGGACCUGUAAUGGAUUGCCGUGGACUGAAAGAAAUAGACUUGCCAUAGUCCACAGCAACAGGAUAAUCAAUCAACAAGACCCUCUAGCUAAUCAUGGAAAUUGCUGAAUGGAAGUACAAGAGAGGAAGCUUGAGUAGCCAUGGCUAAAAUAGAUCUG